AUGCGAUACUUGGUGUGAAUUGCAGAAUCCCGUGAACCAUCGAGUCUUUGAACGCAAGUUGCGCCCGAAGCCAUUAGGCUGAGGGCACGUCUGCCUGGGUGUCACGC
rnacentral:rRNA from 1 species